UACGAAGGGGGCUAGCGUUGCUCGGAAUCACUGGGCGUAAAGGGUGCGUAGGCGGGUCUUUAAGUCAGGGGUGAAAUCCUGGAGCUCAACUCCAGAACUGCCUUUGAUACUGAAGAUCUUGAGUUCGGGAGAGGUGAGUGGAACUGCGAGUGUAGAGGUGAAAUUCGUAGAUAUUCGCAAGAACACCAGUGGCGAAGGCGGCUCACUGCCCGAUACUGACGCUGAGGCACGAAAGCGUGGGGAGCAA
rnacentral:rRNA from 1 species